CCUUCCAGGCAAAGCCACUCCAAAGCCAUUCCCGACAGAUGCUAAUUAGAUGAGCAGUUUUAAAUUAAAUAAUGGGGAUGGGCAGGGCAAAGGAUGCCAAGGAUAAUUGGAACAGAAAUGCUGUCCAGAGAAAAUAGUGCUAAAGACCAGAAUUACUGAAGUGCACACCAAGGAAGCCGGGACACAGAUCGAGACUUGUUUCUACCCCAGGAUCUGAGAGUGGGAAAUAGCUCUGGAUCCUCACACAGCUAGGGAUACUUGUAUCAACCCCUGUCACUGAGCUGGAGGUCAGCAGAGCCCUGGGGACACAGAACUCUCCAUGGACAGAAGGCAGGAAGAAUGGCUGCUGGCCCAAAGGGGGCUUGGGUCCCUGGGUCCAAAGAUGCCAUCAGGCCUUUGCUGCCACAGGCCUCACAUCAGCAAAGCAGAAGUCACAGGGCCAGGGCCAGAGCCAGCAGCAAGCAGACCGUCACCCUAGGGAUCGAACUCAGGACCUUGAGCUUGCGAGGCAGGCGCCAGAACCACUGAGCUAAAUCCCCGGGCCUCUCCGGUGUAAAAUGAAGAUGUGAACAGCAGUCACUGAUAGGGCAUGGGAGGGACUGUGUGUAACACAUUCAUGUUC